AGACCCGAAACCCGGUGAUCUAGCCAUGGGCAGGUUGAAGGUUGGGUAACACUAACUGGAGGACCGAACCGACUAAUGUUGAAAAAUUAGCGGAUGACCUGUGGCUGGGGGUGAAAGGCCAAUCAAACCGGGAGAUAGCUGGUUCUCCCCGAAAGCUAUUUAGGUAGCGCCUCGUGAAUUCAUCUCCGGGGGUAGAGCACUGUUUCGGCUAGGGGGCCAUCCCGGCUUACCAACCCGAUGCAAACUGCGAAUACCGGAGAAUGUUAUCACGGGAGACACACGGCGGGUGCUAACGUCCGUCGUGAAGAGGGAAACAACCCAGACCGCCAGCUAAGGUCCCAAAGUCAUGGUUAAGUGGGAAACGAUGUGGGAAGGCCCAGACAGCCAGGAUGUUGGCUUAGAAGCAGCCAUCAUUUAAAGAAAGCGUAAUAGCUCACUGGUCGAGUCGGCCUGCGCGGAAGAUGUAACGGGGCUAAACCAUGCACCGAAGCUGCGGCAGCGAACGUAUCACCCAAGACAACUUUACGGAGUUGACGAUUGACGGAGCGAAGCGACGUCAAAGCGUUCAUUAAAGUCGAGUUGGCUUAGGGAUACGUUCGUUGGGUAGGGGAGCGUUCUGUAAGCCUGUGAAGGUGUGUCGUGAGGCAUGCUGGAGGUAUCAGAAGUGCGAAUGCUGACAUAAGUAACGAUAAAGCGGGUGAAAAGCCCGCUCGCCGGAAGACCAAGGGUUCCUGUCCAACGUUAAUCGGGGCAGGGUGAGUCGACCCCUAAGGCGAGGCCGAAA
rnacentral:rRNA from 1 species